rnacentral:misc_RNA from 1 species
GAUGAAGAACGCAGCGAAAUGCGAUAAGUAAUGUGAAUUGCAGAAUUCAGUGAAUCAUCGAAUCUUUGAACGCACAUUGCGCCCGCCAGCAUUCUGGCGGGCAUGCCUGUUCGAGCGUCAUUUCAACCCUCAAGCUCUGCUUGGUGUUGGGGCCCUACGGUUGACGUAGGCCCUUAAAGGUAGUGGCGGACCCUCUCGGAGCCUCCUUUGCGUAGUAACUAACGUCUCGCACUGGGAUUCGGAGGGAUUCUGGCCGUAAAACCCCCAAUUUUUUAAGGUUGACCUCGGAUCAGGUAGGAAUACCCGCUGAACUUAAGCAUAUCAAUAAGCGGAGGA